GCGUGAUUAUAGUAGUGGUAUAACUUAUCUGCCCCCCAAGUUCUCUUGCAGAGCAGAAGACGCGAGUUCGAAUCUCGCAUCACGCA